GACGAACGCUGGCGGCGUGCUUAACACAUGCAAGUCGAACGGUGAAGCGCCUUCCUUUUUGGUGGGUGUGGAUGAGUGGCGAACGGGUGAGUAACACGUGAGUAACCUGCCCCCUUCUUCUGGAUAACCGCAUGAAAGUGUGGCUAAUACGGGAUAUUCUGGGUCUGUCGCAUGAUGGGUCUGGGAAAGAUAUUGUUUCGGUGGGGGAUGGGCUCGCGGCUUAUCAGCUUGUUGGUGGGGUGAUGGCCUACCAAGGCGGUGACGGGUAGCCGGCCUGAGAGGGUGGACGGUCACACUGGGACUGAGACACGGCCCAGACUCCUACGGGAGGCAGCAGUGGGGAAUAUUGCACAAUGGGCGCAAGCCUGAUGCAGCGACGCCGCGUGAGGGAUGGAGGCCUUCGGGUUGUGAACCUCUUUCGCCAGUGAAGCAGGCCUGCCUCGUUUGUGGGUGGGUUGACGGUAGCUGGAUAAGAAGCGCCGGCUAACUACGUG
rnacentral:rRNA from 1 species